AUUGCUGCAUCUAGAGUGAACGGCUAGUCCCCUAGUCCCCUGUUUCUUUGGAUAAAUUUUUUGUACAAGUUUCGUGAAAGUUGUGCUGAUUUGAUGCCCUCAACUGUUUGUGGUUAUGUCUCUGAUAACUAACAACAUCUUUUGUCCUAUGCCCAAAUUUUUGUGAGCAACAAAUAUUCAUACAUGUGCAUUAUAUCUGUUCUUGUGGGAAUACGUCUACAACAAGUUCGUUUUUGCACCUCUUUCAGAAAAAAUCAUAUUGUACAAUUCUAGUGUAUCUUCUUGAAGUUCAUAUUGUCAAGACCUCGAAGCUCACAUAAUAUAGUUCAGAAGUUUGGAUGACUCAUGUCUGAUAAUUUUUUUUUUGAUACAUACACGCGAGCCUGUUCAUAUUUGUAUAUUUGUUAUUUUCAUUAUCCGUUAGGAUCUGGUAUUAGUAGUCUAUUUUUUACGAGCAGUCUUGUUCGACAGAUGCUUUAUCUCUACUCCUAAUGGACGAGUUGGUUGAAUAGUUCCCCCACUUUCGUCUGGUUUUUUUUCGACUGGUUUUUUUUCGUCACCUCCCCACCCCACCUCACCCCACCCCACGCACGCACCCCAAGAAAACCACCCCGUAGGAGGAACGCCCUUCCUCUCGAUCCCCUCCCGUCGCCGCCGCCGUCCUCUCUCCGAUCUCUAGCCUCGCACCUUCUCCCAUCCAUCCCCUCGCCUCUCUUUCCCCCGAUCUAGAUGGCACCUCCCACCAUGGCGGGGAGGCGGCUUCGAGCGCCGCCUGAUCUCCUCGACCCAGGGCCUCACGCUCACCAGCGCCCGCCCAAUCGCGCGCGACCUCUCCACUGCAGCGCGCCCCCGCCCUGUCUUGAUGUGCAGCCCACGCCAUGGGUCUCCGCCGACGCCACGAUGGUCGUGGCCUCCUCACCCGCCGACGCCUCCACUCCAGAUCCGAGCCGCCGGUGAGCCGUCAAGGUCGGGGCAUGGUACUAUCCAUCUUCCCGCGUGUAGGGCAGCCGGUGCCCGCGUCCGCGUAUCCCGGCCAUGGGUGUUGUAUUCAUCUCCUACAUGGGGCGACGAGGAAGAUGAGCCCAGCGGCACGUGUGUCUUCCAGCCGCUCUUGUGAGAUCGGGAGGCAAUCAAAAGCAGGAAGGGGAGAUCGAUGCUUGGGGGUGACAUCCAAUGACCCAGGCAUCACCCUCUCCUGACGUCUUACUACAAACCCGCAGCCACUGCCUCCUCGAUCUACGCUAGCCUGCAGCAGCAAGGUCAGCCCCCCACACUCGGCAUUUUUUUCUUUAGGUCUUGGCGCGGGAAACUGAAAAAGAGAUGCUCCAACAAUCACCACAUCCCCCAUACUGAUUCCUGCAAAUAAGCGUUAAAUAAAAGUAUAUCGAGUUUGAUGACGAUGAUGAUUGAAAAGAAGAGGAUGAAGCACUAUUCAGAGGGUAUCCGAGUGUACAUGAUGCCCCUGGGUGGGUGUCGGCGUGAGCUGGUAUGGCCCCGUCGUGGCUAUGUAGAUGGGGAGGCGGGGUGGAGGCUGGGACUGCAUGGGGAAAAAGCAUAAAGAGCAAGACGGUAGUGCUGUACUGUGGCAUGGUCAUGUGUGUAGCCUCAGCACAGCGUUGUACUGUGGCAUGGCUGUGUGUGUGACGUCGGUGCAGCGGCAAAGAGUAGUCUUUGGAGCAGGGCAGCGGCACACACACACAUGAGGGUGGCCCUCGAGGCUUGGGGGUUAAGCAGGAUCCCGUGGAAGUGGAGAGAGAAGCAUCAUGUUCAUGAACUUGAAAAAUGAUUUCGAGUUUGAACAAAGAAAGUUUACCAAAGAAGACAUCAAAGAAAUUAUAUUUAGGGAGAUACUGGAAUACCUCCCUCAACUUCUCAAGGAUUACAUGCACGGAUCUGAAAAUACUUACUAUGUCCUAUGUUUCUACCUUGACAUAUCUUGUAACUUUUUUGCCUCCUAUUUUGCAUAUGUAGCAAUAGUCAUAACUUAUGUCGUUGAAUCAAUAUUUGCCACUACUGACAAUUUGCAUAGGCAAUCUGCUAAGAGGAAGAUGGUGGAAAGAGCGGGCGAGUCGAGAGAAAACAUUUUCUUCUCCCAAGGUGUCGAACUACACUACCAGCAGCAGAGGCUGCACCUUGUCUUUAGCAAAGAUGGAAAGCCUGCUAAUUAAUGAUACAGGGAGAUGAACGAUGUGGAUAUGAAGAAGUAGUGGGUUGUGCUUUUCAGCAGUAAAUGCAUUUAGAGAUUAGAUGGCUUGCUCCAAAGACAAGCAACUAAUCUCGUUGAUGGGAUUGCUGCGCAGAUUCAUGGAUCGUGCUCUUCCGUGGUAAGGAGCCUGUGGCUCUCUCAAGUCUCAACUGAUCAGAAGAUCUUGGUUAGCUGGUUGGUCAGAGGAAGAAAGCAGAACGCAUGAAUGAAAGUGGAGAGGACAAAGAAAGAUGUGUGGAUACUCAUAGUUGAAGUAAAUAAGUAUUAUGGGGAUUCUCAUAGUUGGAGAAUAUAAGUAUUAUGCGGAUUCUCAUGGUUGGAGUUAAUAACGGACACACUGGCGUAUUAGUUGUUUGCCCAACAACGGACAUCAUAUUUUUAUUUCGUGGUAAUGCACGACAUUCAAUUGUAUAUGUUACAACGUGGCAA